rnacentral:rRNA from 1 species
CACGUAGGGGGGCAAGCGUUGUCCGGAUUCAUUGGGCGUAAAGAGCUCGUAGGCGGUUCGAUAAGUCGGGUGUGAAACCUCCAGGCUCAACCUGGAGACGCCACCCGAUACUGUCGUGACUAGAGUCCAGUAGGGGAGCGUGGAAUUCCUGGUGUAGCGGUGAAAUGCGCAGAUAUCAGGAGGAACACCAGCGGCGAAGGCGGCGCUCUGGGCUGGAACUGACGCUGAGGAGCGAAAGCGUGGGGAGCGAACAGG